rnacentral:rRNA from 1 species
AACGAACGCUGGCGGCAGGCCUAACACAUGCAAGUCGAACGCUGUAGCAAUACAGAGUGGCAGACGGGUGAGUAACGCGUGAGAACCUUCCCAGUGGUGCGGAAUACGCUCAGGGAAACUUGACGGUAAUACCGCAUAAGCCCCUAGGGGGAAAGAUUUAUCGCCAUUGGAUGGGCCCGCGUCGGAUUAGCUAGUUGGUGAGGUAAUGGCUCACCAAGGCAACGAUCCGUAGCCUGGUUUGAGAGAAUGACCAGCCACACUGGGA